GGGUCAGUAGCUCAAUUGGUAGAGCGGCGGUCUCCAAAACCGUAGGCUGAGGGUUCGAGCCCUUCCUGGCCCG
rnacentral:tRNA from 2 species